UCUCCGUUGGUGAACCAGCGGAGAGAUCAUUACUGGAAUCGCAAGAUCCCACAACCCUGUGAACCUACCGAAACGUUGCCUCGGCGGGUGCCCGGCCUCUGCGCCGGGCGCUGCGCCCGCCGGCGGCCCCCUACUCUGUCUCUGCAGCGUGGCAUCUCAGAGUCCCAGAAAACAAGUCAAAACUUUCAACAACGGAUCUCUUGGCUCUA
rnacentral:misc_RNA from 1 species